rnacentral:rRNA from 1 species
UAUGUGAUCGUCUCUCGCAUAUCAAUAAGCGGAGGAAAAGAAACUAACAAGGAUUCCCCUAGUAACGGCGAGUGAAGCGGGAAGAGCUCAAAUUUGAAAUCUUAAAGGGUUUCCCUUUACGAAUUGUAGUUUAAAGAAGUGUUUUCUGUUGAGGUUUUGGUAAAAGUUCUUUGGAAUAGGACAUCAUAGAGGGUGAGAAUCCCGUAUUUGACCUUUACUUUCAACUUUGUGAUACACUUUCAAAGAGUCGGAUUGUUUGGGAAUGCAGUCCAAAAUGGGUGGUAAAUUUCAUCUAAAGCUAAAUAUUGGCGAGAGACCGAUAGCGAACAAGUACCGUGAGGGAAAGAUGAAAAGAACUUUGAAAAGAGAGUUAAACAGUACGUGAAAUUGUCAAAAGGGAAGCGUUUGACACCAGUGUUGUUUUUCUGAAAAUCAAUUAAAGAACAGUUUAUGCUAAGCUGUUUAGACUUUAUCAGCUAUCUGUUUAGUUUUGAGCUUUUCUUUAAUGCACUUUUCAGUUAACAAGUCAACAUCAAUUUCUUUUGCUGUAAAAAAGCUUGAGGAAGGUGGCUUGAGAUUCGUCUUAAGUGUUUAUAGCCUCUUGCCUAUGCAGUCGGAGAGAUUGAGGUCUGCAGCGUAGAUCCUUCGGGGCUAAAUGCAUUUGUGCUAAGUUAUAGCAUUUUAUAGACAACUUGUUGACUAUGAUUUGUCUUGUAGCUUACUCGCUUAUGUUAUUUUACCUACGCUUAGGAUGUUGAAGAUAUGCGCGACACG